rnacentral:rRNA from 1 species
AGAGUUUGAUCAUGGCUCAGAACGAACGCUGGCGGCGUGCUUAACACAUGCAAGUCGAACGAGAAAGAUUUCUUCGGAAAUUGAGUAGAGUGGCGCACGGGUGAGUAACGCGUAGGUAAUCUACCCUAAUAUUUGGGAUAACAUUGGGAAACUGGUGCUAAUACCGAAUACCCUUCUUUUCUGUCGGGUUAAGGAGGAAAGGUGGCCUCUUCAUGAAAGCUACCGUAUAAGGAUGAGCCUGCGUACCAUUAGCUAGUAGGUGGGGUAAAGGCCCACCUAGGCUACGAUGGUUAGCGGGUCUGAGAGGAUGAUCCGCCACACUGGAACUGGAACACGGACCAGACUCCUACGGGAGGCAGCAGUGAGGAAUAUUGCGCAAUGGGGGAAACCCUGACGCAGCGACGCCGCGUGAGUGAGGAAGGUUUUCGGAUCGUAAAGCUCUGUCAGAAGGGAAGAAGUGUUAUACAGUUAAUACCUGUAUAAUUUGACGGUACCUUCAGAGGAAGCACCGGCUAACUCCGUGCCAGCAGCCGCGGUAAUACGGAGGGUGCGAGCGUUGUUCGGAAUUACUGGGCGUAAAGGGCGCGUAGGCGGCCCGAUAAGUCAGGUGUGAAAGUCCACGGCUCAACCGUGGAAGUGCAUUUGAAACUGUCAGGCUUGAGUAUCGGAGGGGAAAGUGGAAUUCCCGGUGUAGAGGUGAAAUUCGUAGAGAUCGGGAGGAACACCGGUGGCGAAGGCGACUUUCUGGACGAAUACUGACGCUGAGGCGCGAAAGCGUGGGGAGCAAACAGGAUUAGAUACCCUGGUAGUCCACGCCGUACACGAUGUGAACUAGGGAUAGGGGGUGUUGAUCCCUCCUGUCCCGCAGCUAACGCAUUAAGUUCACCGCCUGGGGAGUACGGUCGC